AGAUGAUCCCCACACCAUACAAACCCUCCCCAUGGACACGGACCCUCACAGCAGGGACACAGACCCUCAUGACACGAUGCCACCUCGUGUCACGCAUUGCCCACAGCUGCAAAGCCACACAACUCAACCCCAAUCCUGACGUUAUCCUCCCAAUUCAGCAGAUUCUGGGAUUCCACUGCAAGAGCCAUCCCCAAGGAGAGCAUCUCAGCUCCAUCCCCGGAGCUGAGGUGCAGCCAGGCAGGAGGAUGCUGACAAUUCCAUUUGGAAGGUGUUAUAGGACUGGCACCCCAUCAAUAGGGUCCUGCAUCAUUAGGGCUUUGCACUUAUAACAGCGUUUCACUGGGGCUUAGGGCAAGAGCUCGUUUGCAUCCACACCCAUCUGGGAGUGAUUAUUCCUGCUGUAGUAGCAUCCAGGCCCGACUGGCAUCGGCACCAUUAGCACACAAACCCAGAGUUUAACGAGAGAGCACUUACCACUGAAACCGCCCCAUAAAGGCACUUAGCCACGUUAAAAUUGCAGCCAAAUCUCCCACUUAACCACGGUGAAACUGCAGCCAAAUCUCCCACUACACCACGGUAAAAAUCACAGCAAACCUCCCUGGGGUUCCAUGCUUGGUUAUAAUGGAUCCUGACAGAUUACUCCUCUUCAGGGACACGCUUCCCACUUACUGCACAGAAUUUACUCAGUGCUUCACAUCCCCCAAACCCCUCACAGACCCGUACCUUCUGCAGCCAGACACCUCUAAAAAUAACAUCCUCCCCAAGUGUUGAAAGAUAUUAAAAUAUAAAGCCAUUAACAUAUAAUAAGACUGGAAUGAGAGCUCCGCAUGCUCUGAAGCUCUCAGGGUUUGGCUUCCAGUCAAGAAAAAUAUAUUGGAUUAGUCUGAGAGCAAAAUUAGGCUGGUGUGCAGUUUAAUUAGCAUUACAAGACACUACAUGUGUAUGGGAGAGCAGGGAAGAUUUAUGUUAUUAUGUGGUAAGAAAAAUAAUGUUAAAAGGUUAAAAUAAUAUGGGGUUGAUAUGGCACUAUUUACUCUGGGGUUAAGGGGAAGAUAACUUUGGAAUGCCACUGAAUGUUGUUAAAAACCCAAGUUCAAGGAUAUGCCAGGGAACUCAUCGAAAAAUUGUGGAAAAACCCUGCAAUUUGGUCAUGGGUCAGUCAAACACUUAUUCUGGCAACAAUAGUCCCCAUCAAGGAACUCAGUUAAUGCUGAUAAAACCUCCUGGUCCUCACACAAAGUCACAGUUUUUCUCCUUCAUGGGAUGAGCAGAAAAUAGAAAAUGAAACCCCAGAUCAGCAGUGGAGGAGGCUGGGGGGCAGAAGGAAAGGCCCUUGCAGCACCAUAAAUCUGGGAAUAAGGACUUUGGGAAGGUCCUGACUGAGCUGAAGGUGUCCCUGCCUGUGGCAGAGAGAUUGGACUCGAUGGCCUUGAGAGGGCCCUUCCACCCCAAAGCCUUCUGUGAUUCCACAAUUCCCAAAGUCCAGCCAGGCUGUUCCCACCCAGCCAAAGGUUUCUCCUCACAGGAAUUCACGCCAGAGCACGUGCAGGGAUGCACGUCCAGCCUUGGGAAGAGCUCACACUGUAUUUAAUUUCCCAAAGGAUGCAACACAUCCCGCAGCCACUGCCACGCUCCUGCCACUCUGCAGCAUCUCAACAGGAGGAGUUCUGGAUUGUGCGUGGAAUACCCACAGGCACAGCAGCAGGGAUAGAGAAUUGGAGUUGUGAAUGAAGCCUUUCCCUAACCCAGGAGCAGAGCCAUGAAAUCCCAACACACAGGCCCUGAGCGGGGAUUUGAAGGUCAGAGCCCACAGGACCUGUGCUGAGGCUGCUUCCAGAGGAGGCUGGAGAAGCACUUCCAACAGGAGCUCUGCUCAAAGCUCUCAGCACGCUGGGCAGGUUUCAGCUGGGAUGCAGGAGCCAGACACGGGGAUGAAGAUGCAUGGAUGAGCCACAGCACACCCAUCCAGAGGGAUUAUUUAGAUUUUACACCACCAGCCAAGGCUCCACCACUCCCCAAACCCUCUCUCACACCUCUGAGCCACUGAAGAGUCAAUGAAUUAAAGCAGCUCCAACAAACUCCUCAUCUCGCAGCCAGCGCGGUGAUGCAACACCCGGCGGGUUCUGGGACAAAGAUGUGGAACUACAAUGCCUCAACCUCUGCCAUGAAAAUCUGCCCUUCUAUCCCAAAUGAGUUACAUAUUUGGAUACCCUGUGAGAUAGGGAAGCGGGGCGUUAUCGAGCUGCCAAAUCUCACUCCUGUCAUGAGGUCAUUUCUGGCACAGGGCCAGGUGAGGUUUCGGCCAAAAUCUGAGCGCUGACCAUCGCUCCCCGUCCUUCCCCCCACGCUCCUCUUCCUCCUGCCUCAGGUCAGGAAAGGGGGUGGGGGGAAUAAAAUAAUUCAAAAAUAAAGAAAAAAGGGUCAGGACGGGGAGUAUCUUUUGGGUUUAAAUCAGUUUGUACAAUCAUGACACACACAGCACCCGGCCUCUUCACUGAGGAUACCUCAGCAGCUGAAGGACAUUUGAGGGCUCACAGCACUGUGGUCACUGGUCCCCCCAAAUGAACUCUGACCAUGGUCCUCAGGAGAGAAAUGUCACUGAUCACAUUGCUUGAAUGAAUUAUUUAGGAAUGUCAACCUAAUUUAUGCAAGCAUCACAUGUAUAGGAUCCACUUUGGGUUUAUCAUCAGCACAGCUUGGAAGGGCUGCUGGGACCCCCACAUGCACCCCAAAGCUGGACAAUAACUUUCUAAAUAAAGCUGUUUGCAAACCCCUAAUUUCACUACUUUAAUCACUGAAGGGAUGCACUCAGCACCCCAGGACACCCAAAGUGCUUGUUUUUAGCUGCAAGGCAGAAAAAUCAGUGAGAAAGGGUGAGCAGCACCUCUACAAAUCCCAUUAAUCACACGUUGUCACAGCAGCCGUUCCCAACCGGAGCAGCUCGGGACGCUCAGCCUUCCUUCCCCAUGUCCCUACUACCAGCAACCUUCCUCUCCAACCCAACUGCUUCAGUGUGCCCCAAAGAAUAUUUCAUCUCAAGCCUGACAGGCCAGAUGUAGAAUAAAGAAAUAAAUAAUUAGCGUUACCUUAUCUGGAGUCCGUCAGCUGCAGCGAGCGACGCUCGGAGCUCCGUCCGCAUCCAGAGACAAAUUAUCUAACGCUGUAAUUUAUGAAUGCCUCAAGUAUUUGCCCUGGUAUUUCAUUAUACACUCGCUGGAAAGAAGAGCUCGAAAGACUAAACAGAUCCAGCACGAUAACACGAAAGGCACUCCAGCCGCGCGCUAUUCCAAGGCAACCCAGGAAUCCCAGCACGACAUCAAACCGCUCCGGCUCGCUCUGUGUUGACACUGCUGGAGGGGCAGCGAGGGCAGAGCGAUGACCCGGGAGCUCGGCUUCCCUCCGGUUCAACGCUGGGCUUGCAUUUAUUAUGGGCAGCCGCGGGACGCGGGCAGCGCAAGCCCGGCUCUCCCGGGGGCAGCCGAGGCCGGCGCGGCGGAACGGCUCCCGCUGCCAAGUGGGAGGAAGAGUUCCAAACUCGCCGCUUUAUCAAAGCUAUUUUUGUCCUUCCCCCCUACACACUGAUAACCAGCAAGGCGAGGACCGCCAGGGUGCCGAGGCAGGGCUUGGCAUCUCCCCCGAAACCCCGCUGCGACUCCGCGGCACAGCCACCCGGCACCUUGGGGGAGCGGGCCAUCCGCUCCGGAGGCUCGGAGGGGAGGAAACUCCUUCCUCCAGCUUAUCCUGCUCGCAGCGAGGUUUCGUGCCUGGAAAAAAUGAGCUAAGUUUGCGAGCGGAGGCCCCAGCUCCGCUCCGGCUCUCCCAGAGGCUCUCGCGACAGGCGACCCCCGCCAAGGGCUGGGGACACCGGCGGGACAACCGGGAGGCUGCUGCCCACCUGUCCUGCACAGGCUGAGCGGCUGCGGCGGGGGGCACAGCGAGGCAUCACCCAAAAGACGAUGCACCUGGCCUGGGGGAGAAGCGGAAUCAGGAACACAGCGCCGGAGGAGCGAGGGCAGCCAGCGGAGGCCGUGCGGGACCGGGACCCAGCGCGCACGGCGGGUGCGGGGCCGAGCCGUGCGGGGCUCCCCGGCAGCAGCACCCCGCGCCCGGGGGCACCCCGCAAGGGCCGGGGCAGAGCCGCUGCCCCCGGCCAAGGCUGGGCUAUCGGGACACACGGCGGGUCUGUCGCGACAGGGAAACCGCGAGCAGCA